AUCCCGUUCUUAGUGUUCACUGUGAUCCUUGAUUUAUAUUCUAAAACAAUUAAGGCACGCGGUGAAUGCCAAGGCUCGAGGGU
rnacentral:pre_miRNA from 15 species